UAUGAGCAGGCGCUAAACCUGGUUUAGGUAUUUAGGCAGCGCGCGGCCCGGCUCGUAACUCCUCCUGCUGCAGCAGGCGUAUCGUUGGCCUCGCCUCGACCCCGGAAGUGACUUCUGGAAGUGACCCAGGAAGUGACAUACUCUGAGCAGCUACAAAAAGAAGACCAGUCUAUCCUGCUGGAGACAGUGGCCACGUGAAGAAAGAGCUCUUGCAGUAUGAAAGACCACAUGGAAAGAGAGGCCACAUGGAACCAACAGUCAGCAUCUUGGUUUCGGACACGUGAAGAAAUUCAUCUCAGACUGUGUAUCCUAAAUCAGGCACUUGCUGAAUCUAACUACAUGAGUGAGACCAGUUGACAACACAUGGAGCAGACAUGAGCUGUUCUCAGUGAGUCCUACACAAAUUCCUGACUCACAACACUGUGAGCAAUAAAAUGGUUGUUAUUUUAAGCCACUGAAGUUUGCAGUGAUUUCUUACAUAGGAAUAGAUAAAUGAAACACAAACAUUGAUCAUUUGCAUCUUCUAUCUUUUUUAUGACUAGUCUUAUUGGAAAUUACCAGUUUAUUUCUGCCAUGGUUAGAAAACAAACUCUGAAAUUUUGAUACUUUAAAAUUUUUUUGAGACUUACUGUGCCCAGAAUAUAGUCUAUCUUGGUGAAUGUUCUGUGAGCACUAGACAAGAAUAUGUAUUCUGUAGUUAUUGAGCAUUGUGUCCAUCAAUGUCAACGUGAUUAAGGUGGUUAAUAGUUGUCUUCAGAUCUUCUAUAUUGUAUUGAUUGUUUUAUGUGUAGUGUUGCUAUUAAUUAUUGAUACAGGAGUGUAAAACUUAAACUAUGGCUGUGAAUUUGCCACUUACUUUAGUUUUGUCAGCUUUUCUUUUGCAUUUUUGAAGCUCUGUUAUUGGGCAUAUAAACAUUUAUGGUUCGUGUGUCUUCCUGAUGAAUUGACCAUUUUAUCAUUAUGAAAUGUCUUUAUUGCUGAUAAUACUCCUUAUCUUGAAGUCUAAUUCAUCCGAUAUUAGUAUAGCCACUGCAGCCUUCCUAGCUUACUGUUUACUGGUAUAUUUUUAUCCAUGUUUUUACUUUCAACCUGUGUUUUUUAAUUUAAUGUGCUUCUCUUAUAGACAACAG
rnacentral:lncRNA from 1 species